GCACUCCUGGGGCGUCUCUAUCUCAUCGAGAGGAGGCGCACCCAGAGUGUACACGCUGAUACCCGAAAGAUGGUGAACUAUGCCUGGCCAGGACGAAGCCAGGGGAAACCCUGGUGGAGGUCCGCAGCGAUUCUGACGUGCAAAUCGAUCGUCGGAGCUGGGUUUAGGGGCGAAAGACCAAUCGAACCAUCUAGUAGCUGGUUCCCUCUGAAGUUUCCCUCAGGAUAGCUUGCGCUCAAAUUGAAACGAGUCUCAUCCGGUAGAGCGAAUGAUUAGAGGCCUUGGGGUCGAAACGACCUCAACCUAUUCUCAAACUCCAAAUGGAUGAGAACCCCGGCUUUCUCGAAUACACAUUGAUUGAAGCCGUGGGAUCGGAUCAGAGUGCCAAGUGGGCCAAUUUUGGUAAGCAGAACUGGCGCUGUGGGAUGAACCAAACGCGGAGUUAAGGCGCCUCAAUCGACGCUCAUGUGAAACCAUGAAAGGCGUUGGUUGCUUAAGACAGCAG
rnacentral:rRNA from 1 species